CCUGUGUAAGACCUGGUCCUGUGUAAGACCUGGUCCUGUGAAAAGACCUGGUCCUGUGUAAGACCUGGUCCUGUGUAAGAACUGGUCCUGUGUAAGACCUGGUCCUGUGUAAGACCAGGCCCUGUGUAAGACCAGGCCCUGUGUAAGACCUGGUACUGUGAAAGACCUGGUCCUGUGUAAGACUUGAUCCUGUGUAAGACCUGGUCCUGUGUAAGACCUGGUCCUGUGUAAGAACUGGUCCUGUGUAAGAACUGGUCCUGUGUAAGACAAGCGGAUCAGCAGCAUGGUCAUUGUACAUCUCACUAAUAUAAACAAUCUGCUUCUGUUUUGUAUAUAGUGUAUGAUGUCUCAGAAAUCAAUGAAAUGUUCACUCAAGUAAA